rfam:Xenopus tropicalis strain Nigerian Chr01_contig_4976, whole genome shotgun sequence.
GGCAGGCAGAGUAUGGCACACACAGGCAGCACUCUGCCUCCCUUAUGCUGCCUGUGUGUGCCAUACUCUGCCUGCC